rnacentral:rRNA from 1 species
AGUCGAACGAGGUAUUUUGAUUGAAGUUUUCGGAUGGAUUUCAAGAUACCGAGUGGCGGACGGGUGAGUAACGCGUGGGUAACCUGCCUCAUACAGGGGGAUAACGGUUAGAAAUGACUGCUAAUACCGCAUAAGCGCACAGUACCGCAUGGUACGGUGUGAAAAACUCCGGUGGUAUGAGAUGGACCCGCGUCUGAUUAGCUGGUUGGUGGGGUAACGGCCCACCAAGGCGACGAUCAGUAGCCGACCUGAGAGGGUGACCGGCCACAUUGGGACUGAGACACGGCCCAGACUCCUACGGGAGGCAGCAGUGGGGGAUAUUGCACAAUGGAGGAAACUCUGAUGCAGCGACGCCGCGUGAGUGAAGAAGUAUUUCGGUAUGUAAAGCUCUAUCAGCAGGGAAGAAAAUGACGGUACCUGACUAAGAAGCCCCGGCUAACUACGUGCCAGCAGCCGCGGUAAUACGUAGGGGGCAAGCGUUAUCCGGAUUUACUGGGUGUAAAGGGAGCGUAGACGGCGACGCAAGUCUGAAGUGAAAUACCCGGG